CUCUGUUUCUCCCGGUGCGGAAGACGGCGUGCUUGCUUUAUGAGUUUAAUCUAAAGAAGAGGUGUCUACAGUGUGAACUAUUGCAUAACUUUCCAUUCGGUCUGGCAGAUACAGGACAAAGGUCUCAGACGGGUGGUCGUUUUGUAACGUUGUGGGUUUAUGCCCUCGGCGCGUAAUUCAGAAUUCACGAUCCAUCUCAUGGACGCACACGAAUGCUUGGCUUGUUGUCGAGUGCCCACGGUCUCUGGAGGAAAUGUCAAGCGGGCUCAUUGUGAAGAACUGCUCCUACUUCAAACACUUCACAUCAGGGGAGGAGGCC